rnacentral:rRNA from 1 species
AAAAGGGAAGCGCUUGUGACCAGACUUGCGUCCGGUGAAUCACCCAGCUCUCGCGGCUGGGGCACUUCGCCGGCUCAGGCCAGCAUCAGCUCGCUGUCGGGGACAAAAGCUUCAGGAACGUAGCUCUCUUCGGGGAGUGUUAUAGCCUGUUGCACAAUACCCUUCGGCGGGCUGAGGUACGCGCUCCGCAAGGAUGCUGGCAUAAU